AUUGAACGCUGGCGGCAUGCCUUACACAUGCAAGUCGAGCGGCAGCACGGGUGCUUGCACCUGGUGGCGAGUGGCGAACGGGUGAGUAAUACAUCGGAACAUGUCCUGUAGUGGGGGAUAGCCCGGCGAAAGCCGGAUUAAUACCGCAUACGAUCUACGGAUGAAAGCGGGGGACCUUCGGGCCUCGCGCUAUAGGGUUGGCCGAUGGCUGAUUAGCUAGUUGGUGGGGUAAAGGCCUACCAAGGCGACGAUCAGUAGCCGGUCUGAGAGGACGACCAGCCACACUGGGACUGAGACACGGCCCAGACUCCUACGGGAGGCAGCAGUGGGGAAUUUUGGACAAUGGGCGAAAGCCUGAUCCAGCAAUGCCGCGUGUGUGAAGAAGGCCUUCGGGUUGUAAAGCACUUUUGUCCGGAAAGAAAUCCUUGGCUCUAAUACAGUCGGGGGAUGACGGUACCGGAAGAAUAAGCACCGGCUAACUACGUG
rnacentral:rRNA from 1 species